UACGAAGGGUGCUAGCGUUGUUCGGAAUGACUGGGCGUAAAGGGUGCGUAGGCGGCCAGAAACGUCUGAUGUGAAAUCCCUGGGCUUAACCUAGGAACUGCAUUGGAUACGGUCUGGCUAGAGUCCGCGAGAGGAAGAUGGAAUUGUGCGUGUAGAGGUGAAAUUCGUAGAUAUGCACAAGAACACCGGUGGCGAAGGCGAUCUUCUGGAGCGGUACUGACGCUAAGGCACGAAAGUGUGGGGAGCAAACAGGAUUAGAUACCCUGGUAGUCCACACUGUAAACGAUGAUUAUUAGAUGUCGGGAGGGUUACCUUUCGGUAUCGCAGCUAACGCAUUAAAUAAUCCGCCUGGGGAGUACGGUCGCAAGAUUA
rnacentral:rRNA from 1 species